UACAGAGGUCUCAAGCGUUGUUCGGAUUCAUUGGGCGUAAAGGGUGCGUAGGCGGCGCGGUAAGUCGGGUGUGAAAUUUCGGAGCUUAACUCCGAAACUGCAUUCGAUACUGCCGUGCUUGAGGACUGGAGAGGAGACUGGAAUUUACGGUGUAGCGGUGAAAUGCGUAGAGAUCAUGAGGAAGACCAGUGGCGAAGGCGGGUCUCUGGACAGUUCCUGACACUGAGACACGAAGGCCAGGGGAGCAAACGGG
rnacentral:rRNA from 1 species